rnacentral:sRNA from 1 species
GCAUUAAAUGAUGAUACUUCACUAUCUUGUACCGUCAUUAUUCGUCAUGUCAAUCAUUCUGUAGAGCAUUAUGACUUCAGUAAACAUCUAUUUUAAUCAAUGUUUACGUUAACAAUUCAGUUAGUAAUUUUAGGGCUACACAUAAUGCUAUACAUUACUUGCUCUUACAAUGUAGAAGGACAACGAGAUGGUUGAAGAGUUCUGAUUCAAAAAUUCGAUCAUUUUAUUCUAUGUUGUACAUUCAUUAUGCCAACAAUUAAUGUAUUUGUUACAUGGCAAAUAUACUAAUUUACUCAACAAAUCAAGAAAAUGAUAAAUGGUAUAUAUUUCUCAAUGUUGUUAAUGUAAGAUGACGUGUUCAGUUAUUACAUUAAUUUUUGCAGCAAGGCAUUAUUUGUGAUUUACGGCGAGCUCUUUGUCAACUUUUUUCAUUACAGAAGUUUUUGUUGUGUGAUGAUGAUGGUUAUAUCAACCAAUGCAUUAAGACAAUAAACUUUUACAUGUACC